AUAUAGUAGUCUAGGCCUAGAUCAAUUAGGACAAAGCCUUCUUUCAACUUCCAUAGAUCUGUUAGUUUUGUUCUCAGAUACUGGUGAUGGAAUUUCUUGCUCGCCGCUUUGAUAAUUAUUGAAUGUUGCCAGGAGGCAUAGAGUCUUUGUUUGUCUUCAAGUAAGAGAAGAAUCACUUCUUCUUUCCCAGAAUUUUGGAUUUCUGGUUGUUCCUCGAGUACUCCGCUUUGUUGAUAGUUAGUGGAUAUGUUGGUUUUAUCCCUUAGGAUAUCACUGUAGGAAGGCUUGGAUGGGGUAUCCACAACUAUUUGAUUACUUGGUCCAUCGGGCUAUUCCGUUGGUUCAAAGCGUAUGACUUGUUUGUUUUAUGAUGGGGGGUCAUGGCACCAUUCAGAACGUGGAUGAUGAUGAAUAAGGGAUUGCAUUUUAGAGAGUGGGAAGUCUUUCUCUCUCUGUAUGUAUCGGUUCAACCUUUUUGAUAUGCUAUACCUUUGAUUUUUUUUCGUUUUACAUGAAUAGAACUCACUGUCCUGGAGUCUCGUGCACAUAACGGGAGUUUUAGUGUUUCAAAUCAUUUUUUUUCCCUUUACAUGAGCAGCAACUCAACUGAUCUGCAAAUAUUAAAGUGCAGAGAUUAUCGUCAUUAUGGUGAGAUCCAAUGUCCUUUUUUUCCUUAAUAGUUAUUACACAUCUAAUUCGAUACGUUGGGUAUAUAAAGUCCCAAGAAUUAAUAAUUUGUGUAAUAAUCUAGCCCCAGAGCUUGGCGGAAGCUAUAAGUGCUUUUUAACCAAAUUUAAUAGUAAAAAAAUU
rnacentral:lncRNA from 1 species